CUGUGUCUCCACCCACGUGGGAUGCUCAUGGUCCCCAGGGGCGCUGUGGGCUUCCCCACAGCGGGUCCCCGCCUGGAAGGCCCCUCAUUAAUUCCGAGAGGAAACGGAAAUGAAGCCCUGGGAGAGAGGCCGGCGGGCCUCCUCCCAGGCUCAGUAAAGCCGCGGGAAGUGUCCAGAGCAACAGGCUGAGUUAUAAAACAGGGGCUGAGAGAGGAGACACUGACCGGACAUGCAGUGAGUGACCCGUGUUCGAAGAAGCCUCAACACCGGCAGGAAGUCUGGACUGGGGGGUGAUGUGGAAGCUGAAUCCUGCAAGUCUCCGAAGGAUGCCACACCUGGAGAGACGCCUGGAGCCCUCCGAGCUGAGUCCCGUAAGUCCCCGAAGGACGCAGCACGCACAGAGAUGCCGGAGCCCUCGCGAGAAGAGAAACUCCAGCAGGAACGGGAGGCCCCGAGAAGGCUGAAGACCACCCCAAGUUCAGAGUUUCUCUAGGCAAGGCCCUAAAAAUGACUCUUCGUAGGAAGUUCCAGCUGGGGCGGUGCGGAAACCCCCUCUGAAGCCAACUUUGCUUAGCAAGUAGCACACAGUCUCCUAGGGAGGCGCCCUGGGGGUGUAAUUCCUUUCAUUUUCCUGUAUGGGGGUCCCCUCUCCUCUCUCUCAUACUUCCUGGGCGCUCUGUGGGGACAGGCGGUCGGGGGUGGUCAGGGCUUCCUCCUGGCUCUGUGCUCAGGGAUGGCUCCUGGCGGGGCUCGGGGGUCCACAGUGGCUGCUGGGGAUCAAACCUAGGUUGGCCGCACGUGAGGCGAGUGCCGUCCCUUCUCCCACCCCUCCUGAGGAUCUCACUUCACAUCCGUCUCCUCCCAAAAAGCUUUUCUGUGAGGGCAGAAGGGAGAUGCAGGAAACCCGAAUGCAGGUGAGGAAGGAGUUUGAUUGUCCUGCCAACGCUUCCUCUGCCCACAGCGGGGGUUCCUGGGAAAGGGGGAGCGAAUUCCCCGGCCCCCGAGAACAAGUGACCUUCAGCUGCGAUUUGGUGGCUGCCCUGGGCGGGGGGUGGGGACCGACCUGAGAGUCCCCCUUCUCGGGUGCUGAUGGCCGACUUUGGCCCCCCUCACCGGCACCAGGAACAGCCCCAGGACACUGAGACGGGUCCGUGGGAGGGCAGUAACGUCUGUCCCGGCUACUCCCUCCUUUGCACGGCCAGAACACGAGGGCGCCGCUAAGAUCCGGAGUCCCAAGCUCUCUCUUUGCUGAGGGAAACUUAGCAAGCCCGGACACCUCCAAGAACCUUGCUCUUCCCCCUGUUCAAGGCAAGGGAAGUGCUAUUUUACGGGAAAAAAAAAAAAAAAAACCACAAACAUUUACAUACUAUACUUGUUCCAAAAUCUGCAAAAAACGUGGCCAGAGAGGACUGAGCAAAGGUUUUGCAUGCGGGAGGCCCCCCGCUCUGUCCCCAACACCUCCCCCCACC